UACUGUCAAGUGCUGGCACCAGUAAGAUCCAUCAAGCAUGGCAGCAGGAAAAUUCUGCAGCAUGGAAAUAAUUAUUGUACCAUCUUGGACUGAACUGAAGUUUCAUCUACUUCCUGAGAUGACCACGUUAGCCAUGAACUUUAACAAGAACAGAAACAUGGACAUCUGAUCAUACCAAUAACACUGCUAAGUCCUCACUCAUUCUGGGUCAGCUUCCAUUCCCAGGAGUCAUCCUCUCCUGCUCCUGAUGAUUUUUCUGAUUUGACUUCCCUCUAUGCCCAUACCUCUCCCAUGGUUCUGUUCCUGUCUUCCUCCCAGGCUUCUCAUCCAUCUCCAUUCCUUCCCUCCUUCCCAGAUAUUUCUACCCUCUUUUCUCAGACCUUCUCAGUCCCCACCCCACCCUGCUCUUUGUCAGGUCUAUUGCCCAUCACCUCACUUCCUAAUUCCAUUCACACAUACUGGCUCCCAGACCCAUUCUCAUUGUCCAGUCUCCCCUACCUCCUCAUCCAUUUUCAGGGCUCCCCAACCCUACCAAGUGAUUGCAAGUCCUCUCUUCUGCUUUUCUCCCCCACAACCAGUUCCAGAAUUCCCCGGUCCCUAAGUUCGGACAAUCUUAGCCUCCUCUCCCCCACCACCUCUUAGGUCCCACCAUCGCACUCAUCCAGUCCCUACCACUUUUUUCCCCCACAAUGCUGACACCCAAGCUCUUCUCCAGACUACCCUGCCUGAUUUCUGCCAAGUCACAGACAAUCCAAACCCUAUCUCCUACAACUCCAGUCUCAGUUGGCAUCUUGUCCUAGCCUCCUUCUUCCCUUCCCCCAGCCUUUAGUCUGCUUUUGUCAUUUCUGCAUUGAAGUCAGGUAGUUUCUUCCUCCACCCUGCCUGGAAACAACAGGGGAGACACCCAGACUUCAAGAGAGAGACUCUUUACCAUCCAUUUAAGAUCCUCGUCCCAGAUUCAACAUGGCCAGAGCUGCAGCUGCAAGAACAAGCACAAUUUCAAGUCAAGUCAGACUCCAGACACAUCUAGCUAACUACUGUGCACCUCUCAGCUUUCCCCCUCAAGCCUCACUCCAAACUCAUGCCAAUGGCUACCACCAACCAACCAGCUCUAAGAUGGUACCUGGUCAUUUAGGCUGAGGACUCCAGAGCAGCCAGACUUAAUAGUAGCCAGACUAAUAACUCCCUUGUGUGCUGUUGUCUAUAGGAAUUGCUUGUCUAAUGUGUUCAUAGGAUUGAAUGGACCCUUGACUUUCUUGAUAGCCAGGAUAUCCUUAUGCCACAGCAAUCCAUGGCUGUAAAAAUAUAGGUUGGAACAAGCUAACUUAAAUGGAGACAUGAGGCCAAACCCAGAACUGGAAGAACAUGAAGAUGGAUAAAGCCACCAUUUGUCCAUUGACCUAGGUCCUGUGGAAAAACUCAGCCAUACCAAAGAGCCUGCCUCCAGCUACUCAUUUCUCAUUCAGUGAAAUCUCAUUUGCAGACAUUUUCCAAGAUCCAGCAUGCAUUUUGUAAUAUUGGUCCAUCUCAUUUGAAAUAUAACCCCUAGUAGGUACUAAUUAUCUUACCACAAGCUACAUAGUUCUGAAGCAGAAAGAGUUCUUAAUGGGCCAUCUAAAUCAGACACAGGCUGACAGCAUCAGGUUUGGUACAGAUAAUGAGGCAGAUGUAAAGCAGUGCUGCAUUUGGCAAACACUGCAUUUAAUGUUAUUGUAGCUGUCUUGUGACUUAAAGAUGCGUUUUAUAUUGGA